rnacentral:rRNA from 1 species
GAGAAGGCUAUGUUGGCCGGGCGACGGUUGUCCCGGUUUAAGCGUGUAGGUGUGUGUUCCAGGUAAAUCCGGUUCACUUUAACACUGAGGCGUGACGACGAGGCACCACGGUGCUGAAGCAACAAAUGCCCUGCUUCCAGGAAAAGCCUCUAAGCAUCAGGUAACAUCAAAUCGUACCCCAAACCGACACAGGUGGUCAGGUAGAGAAUACCAAGGCGCUUGAGAGAACCCGGGUGAAGGAACUAGGCAAAAUGGUGCCGUAACUUCGGGAGAAGGCACGCUGACAUGUAGGUGAAGCGGUUUACCCGUGGAGCUGAAGUCAGUCGAAGAUACCAGCUGGCUGCAACUGUUUAUUAAAAACACAGCACUGUGCAAACACGAAAGUGGACGUAUACGGUGUGACGCCUGCCCGGUGCCGGAAGGUUAAUUGAUGGGGUCAGCGCAAGCGAAGCUCCUGAUCGAAGCCCCGGUAAACGGCGGCCGUAACUAUAACGGUCCUAAGGUAGCGAAAUUCCUUGUCGGGUAAGUUCCGACCUGCACGAAUGGCGUAAUGAUGGCCAGGCUGUCUCCACCCGGGACUCAGUGAAAUUGAACUCGCUGUGAAGAUGCAGUGUACCCGCGGCAAGACGGAAAGACCCCGUGAACCUUUACUAUAGCUUGACACUGAACACUGGUCCUUGAUGUGCAGGAUAGGUGGGAGGCUUUGAAGCGUGGACGCCAGUCUGCGUGGAGCCGUCCUUGAAAUACCACCCUUUAAUGGCUGGUGUUCUAACGUGGGCCCCUUAUCGGGGUUGCGGACAGUGUCUGGUGGGUAGUUUGACUGGGGCGGUCUCCUCCCAAAGAGUAACGGAGGAGCACGAAGGUUGGCUAAUCCUGGUCGGACAUCAGGAGGUUAGUGCAAUGGCAUAAGCCAGCUUGACUGCGAGCGUGACGGCGCGAGCAGGUGCGAAAGCAGGUCAUAGUGAUCCGGUGGUUCUGAAUGGAAGGGCCAUCGCUCAACGGAUAAAAGGUACUCCGGGGAUAACAGGCUGAUACCGCCCAAGAGUUCAUAUCGACGGCGGUGUUUGGCACCUCGAUGUCGGCUCAUCACAUCCUGGGGCUGAAGUAGGUCCCAAGGGUAUGGCUGUUCGCCAUUUAAAGUGGUACGCGAGCUGGGUUUAGAACGUCGUGAGACAGUUCGGUCCCUAUCUG